AUUGAACGCUGGCGGCAUGCUUUACACAUGCAAGUCGAACGGUAACAGGUCUUCGGAUGCUGACGAGUGGCGAACGGGUGAGUAAUACAUCGGAACGUGCCUAGUAGUGGGAGAUAACUACUCGAAAGAGUAGCUAAUACCGCAUGAGAUCUACGGAUGAAAGCAGGGGACCUUCGGGCCUUGUGCUACUAGAGCGGCUGAUGGCAGAUUAGGUAGUUGGUGGGGUAAAGGCUUACCAAGCCUGCGAUCUGUAGCUGGUCUGAGAGGGCGACCAGCCACACUGGGACUGAGACACGGCCCAGACUCCUACGGGAGGCAGCAGUGGGGAAUUUUGGACAAUGGGCGAAAGCCUGAUCCAGCAAUGCCGCGUGCAGGAUGAAGGCCCUCGGGUUGUAAACUGCUUUUGUACGGAACGAAAAGCCUGGGGCUAAUAUCCCCGGGUCAUGACGGUACCGUAAGAAUAAGCACCGGCUAACUACGUGCCAGCAGCCGCGGUAAUACGUAGGGUGCAAGCGUUAAUCGGAAUUACUGGGCGUAAAGCGUGCGCAGGCGGUUUUGUAAGACAGUGGUGAAAUCCCCGGGCUCAACCUGGGAACUGCCAUUGUGACUGCAAGGCUAGAGUGCGGCAGAGGGGGAUGGAAUUCCGCGUGUAGCAGUGAAAUGCGUAGAUAUGCGGAGGAACACCGAUGGCGAAGGCAAUCCCCUGGGCCUGCACUGACGCUCAUGCACGAAAGCGUGGGGAGCAAACAGG
rnacentral:rRNA from 1 species